rnacentral:lncRNA from 1 species
GAGCGCGCGGGGCCGGAAGAGGCGGGCGGCCAGUGGAGGUCCGCAGAGUUUGGGCGCCAGGCGAGACGGCAGGGCUUAAAGUUCCGGGAAUCAAAGAUCAACUCCCACUGAGGACAAAUGGACCUGUAAUUCCGGGUGUGACGAGAGAACGAGAUUUACCUUCCUGAAUUAAAAAACAGGUCAUUAAGCUUGGGCCCUGACUCUUCUUUGUGAGAAGGUACAGAGAUGGAAACCUUACAAUCCGAGACUAAAACGAGGGUCCUUCCCUCAUGGCUGACAGCCCAGGUGGCUACAAAGAAUGUGGCACCAAUGAAGGCCCCCAAGAGGAUGAGAAUGGCAGCAGUGCCAGUGGCAGCAGCAAGGUGCGACAGCUCUGGUCAGAAGACUCCUGCGAAUCUGGCAAGUGGAGCAGGGGCCUCCAUGACCUGGGCCAGGUCUUCCAGCCUAGGCAGAACAGCAAGAUGGGCGGGUGUUUCAGUCUGAUCAUCUCUUGAGCUUUUAGAAGGUGGAGGGGCUGUGGGCGGGAGGCAAAGCGGGUUAACCCUCGAGGACAGGCACCCACUUCUGCCUCUGCACUGGUGAGUGCCCUGCCCUCAGCACACACAGAGUGGGUUCUCCAUGUCAGCCAGUCUCUGAUGCCAGUUGUCCAGAAUGCCAGUCUCUUCCUUUACAACAAACAUGGUAACAUCAGAUGGGCAAGAUCAGUGGAAGGGUCUGUUCUGAGUGGUGCCUGCCCCUGUGGACAGACCUUUAGGGAUGGACAGAUGAGCAGCAGCUGCAGGGCCAGCAAGAGCUAAGGAGCUGGGGAGUGAGUUAGUUGAAUGACGGUAAUUGCCGGGGGGGG